AUUGAACGCUGGCGGCAGGCCUAACACAUGCAAGUCGAGCGGAUGAAGGGUGCUUGCUCCUGGAUUCAGCGGCGGACGGGUGAGUAAUGCCUAGGAAUCUGCCUGGUAGUGGGGGAUAACGUCCGGAAACGGGCGCUAAUACCGCAUACGUCCUGAGGGAGAAAGUGGGGGAUCUUCGGACCUCACGCUCUCAGAUGAGCCUAGGUCGGAUUAGCUAGUUGGUGGGGUAAAGGCCUACCAAGGCGACGAUCCGUAACUGGUCUGAGAGGAUGAUCGGUCACACUGGAACUGAGACACGGACCAGACGCCUACGGGAGGCAGCAGUGGGGAAUAUUGGACAAUGGGCGAAAGCCUGAUCCAGCCAUGCCGAGUGUGUGAAGAAGGUCUUCGGAUUGUAAAGCACUUUAAGUUGGGAGGAAGGGCAGUAAGUUAAUACCUUGCUGUUUUGACGUUACCAACAGAAUAAGCACCGGCUAACUUCGUG
rnacentral:rRNA from 1 species